rnacentral:lncRNA from 1 species
ACAAUAAAAGAAUGUGGUGUCUUUCUUUGUCUGAGCUAUGAGGGCAUCUAUUAUUCUUAUGUAGCCUCCCAUCACAUUGAGAAUUGAAGUUUUUAAAAAUUUUAUUUAAUCUGUUGACUCACAGAAUGUUAACCCUGGAGUAAUGAAUAUUUAUAAGGUACCACCCAAAUAGGCAGGAUAUUGUGCCCUCCAUGUUAGACACCAUGAAGCUGCACUUUCCAUUUUCCCUUCCUUUCCCCUUAGCUGAGGACCAUGUCUGACACCCAGCAGGCCUUGAACAGACAGGCAAUGAAUAACACAGUGAGUGUAUAAAGUAACUUUCUUUUUUAUCAAUAGGAUCUUCAAUAGUCCCAGAAUAAAACUGGAAGCACGUGGCACAACAAAACACACGGGAGCAAUAGCAAGGAGCAGGAAGAAUUAUCAGAGCCACAUUCCAGAUCUUAAUA